CCUACGGGUGGCAGCAGUGGGGAAUAUUGCACAAUGGGGGAAACCCUGAUGCAGCGACGCCGCGUGAGUGAAGAAGUAAUUCGUUACGUAAAGCUCUAUCAGCAGGGAAGAAACACUGACCUUACGGUCAGCAGACGGUACCUGAGUAAGAAGACCCGGCUAACGACGGGCCAGCAGCCGCGGUAAUACGUAGGGGGCAAGCGUUAUCCGGAUUUACUGGGUGUAAAGGGAGCGUAGACGGUGCGCCAAGUCUGGAGUGAAAUGCCGCAGCUUAACUGCGGAACUGCUUUGGAAACUGGCGAACUAGAGUGCGGGAGGGGUAAGCGGAAUUCGUGGUGUAGCGGUGAAAUGCGGAGAUAUUAGGAAGAACACCGGUGGCGAAGGCGGCUUACUGGACCGUAACUGACGUUGAGGCUCGAAAGCGUGGGGAGCAAACAGGAUUAGAUACCCCUGUAGUC
rnacentral:rRNA from 1 species